rnacentral:rRNA from 1 species
CCCUACGGGGUGCAGCAGGCCGCUCGUUCGUGGUAUAUGUUUAAAACCUUUAGUCAUAAUCUGUUACAAAUGAUGUAUGAGUCUGGAAUUAAUAAGCAAGACAUCAAGCCCGCCAUGUAUGUUCUACUCUCUUCGAUGGUGGUAGGGGGAUUGGGUUCGGUCCCGUUGUUUGCAUUGAUGCUCAAGUUUCUCCUGAAACCGCUUCCAGGACCACCACCAGACAACCCGGAAGAACAGCUAUAUGCCAUGUUGAAUAUGUUGGGUGGAAAACCGUUAGAACGGUUUGGGCGUGGCGGGAUCAUGGGCGUAGCCGGCGUGGACGUAAGGGGUUCUCUGCGGAUUGACACCAAGGAUAUACUGCCAAAGACGCUUGGCGAAUUGGCGGGGGGGC